CUCCGUAGGUGAACCUGCGGAGGGAUCAUUACCGAGUUUACAACUCCCAAACCCCUGUGAACAUACCACUUGUUGCCUCGGCGGAUCAGCCCGCUCCCGGUAAAACGGGACGGCCCGCCAGAGGACCCCUAAACUCUGUUUCUAUAUGUAACUUCUGAGUAAAACCAUAAAUAAAUCAAAACUUUCAACAACGGAUCUCUUGGUUCUGGCAUCGAUGAAGAACGCAGCAAAAUGCGAUAAGUAAUGUGAAUUGCAGAAUUCAGUGAAUCAUCGAAUCUUUGAACGCACAUUGCGCCCGCCAGUAUUCUGGCGGGCAUGCCUGUUCGAGCGUCAUUUCAACCCUCAAGCACAGCUUGGUGUUGGGACUCGCGUUAAUUCGCGUUCCUCAAAUUGAUUGGCGGUCACGUCGAGCUUCCAUAGCGUAGUAGUAAAACCCUCGUUACUGGUAAUCGUCGCGGCCACGCCGUUAAACCCCAACUUCUGAAUGUUGACCUCGGAUCAGGUAGGAAUACCCGCUGAACUUAAGCAUAUCAAUAAGCGGAGGAA
rnacentral:rRNA from 1 species